rnacentral:rRNA from 1 species
UACGUAGGGGGCUAGCGUUGUCCGGAUUUAUUGGGCGUAAAGAGCGUGUAGGCGGCCAGGUAGGUCUGCUGUGAAAACUCGAGGCUUAACCUCGAGAUGUCGGCGGAAACCAUCUGGCUAGAGUCCGGAAGAAGAGAGUGGAAUUCCUGGUGUAGCGGUGAAAUGCGCAGAUAUCAGGAAGAACACCCGUGGCGAAGGCGGCUCUCUGGGACGGUACUGACGCUGAGACGCGAAAGCGUGGGGAGCGAACAGG